rnacentral:misc_RNA from 1 species
CAUUUUUUUAUCUAAAUGCCUUAUGUAAAGAAGCAGGAAGCUUUUUCAGGUCGGGCCAUAGCGUUUGGGUCUCGCGCAAGGGAAUCCCGCGAACCUCGUCAGGUCCGGAAGGAAGCAGCGAUAAGCGGAUCAUUCACUGUGCCGUGAGGUCGCCUGAGGGCUGUGGUCCGACGUGAAAAAGCAGAUAUG